rnacentral:sRNA from 1 species
UCACAAGUUGUCUCCACUUGACCCUGUC